CGAAUAGUCACAAUGGAGACGUACCUUUGUCUCAAGUUUCUGUUUUAUUCAAGUUCCAUUUACCGCGAGUUAAGGGCGAUAUAAAGGAUCACACUUUACGAGUACUUAAUUGUCACCUGUUUAUUGCUCUUGACUGAUUAUUUAUCAGAAGGAAACGAGUCGAUAAUACUUGUUCGCGAACAAUUAGUACCUACUAAAUACGUAGCUAUAUAAAAUACAACGGUGCUUCGUUGAGUACAGUGCAGUCGACAAGUGCAACAGUUACGUACGGGUAAUCGAUCGAUAAUUAUGGAUUACAAAGUUGUGUUUCUCGUGGCUUUGAUGCUGACGACCACAAUGUGUGUGCCUCGGGCCCCACCUUGUCCCUGCCCAAAAAUAUACCUCCCUGUUUGUGCCAAAGUGGCCAAUAAAGAGGUCACAUUCAAUAGUAUGUGCGAAUACCAGUGCCAACAUGACUUCGUGAAGCACAAUGGAGGAUCUAUGGAACUGCUCUACACGGGUUCACGGUGCCAUUAGACUGACUGCUUACAACCUCCUUAUGUAGUUUACCUCCUUAUUGUUUCUUUAUAAAUAUAUUUUUUAAGUGAUAA